GCCAGUGUGGCAUAGUGGUUCGUGUGUUAAACUACAACAUUGGAGACUAGGGUUCGAUUCCCAGUUUGGCC